UGACUUGGUUGUCCUGGGUAGCCAGGUUGUCCGGGUUGUCCUGGGUGUCCUGGUGUGCCAGGCUGUCCAGGGCCUCCUGGCUGACCUGGUUGUCCUGGGUAACCUGACUGUCCUGGUUGUCCUGGCUGUCCUGGUAUUCCUGGGUGUCCUGGUUGUCCUGGCUGUCCAGGUUGUCCUGGGUAGCCAGGUUGUCCGGGUUGCCCUGGGUGUCCUGGUUGACCUGGGCCGCCUG